GACAGAGGAGCCAAGCGUUAUCCGGAGUUACUGGGCGUAAAGGGCGUGUAGGUGGUUACGUAAGUCUGGCGUGAAAUUUCUCGGCUUAACCGAGGCAGGUCGUCGGAUACUGCGAGACUAGAGGACGGUAGAGGCGUGUGGAAUUCCGGGUGUAGUGGUGAAAUGCGUAGAGAUCCGGAGGAACACCAGUGGCGAAGGCGACACGCUGGGCCGUACCUGACACUGAGGCGCGAUAGCAUGGGGGAGACAAAGAG
rnacentral:rRNA from 1 species